rnacentral:lncRNA from 1 species
UGUAAAACCUUAAAUAAUGAGAGCACUGCUUACCCUCAGAAUAAAGAGCGCCUGUGUACUGACUCCCUGUUCUGCUCCAGGGGCUUCAGAGCCAUCCUCCUUCUGUACUGACUCCAGCCCUGUGUGGUAGAUGCUAAUACACCCUAAGAAAGCUGGGGACCAUGGAAGCUGCCACCAUCCCAACAGCCCUGGUUGAUAUUGAGAUCUCUGCAUCUUCAGGUUAGUUUUGCUUUGCCCUGGAUGGGACUGCUUAGUCGGCAAAGACCUGGAUGCCUGAAAAAGGAAGGGAAGUUCUGAGUCUGGCAAUAAAAGGACCAGAGGAAGAUGAUGGUGAAGUCCAGAAGUAACACAAAAAGACUUCUGGAAAAAAAAGGGAUGCUGCUCUAACUCUGGGAGUUUGGCUGAUAUGUGAGACCUGGCUCUCUCGGGAUGACAUGGAAGGUGACCCUCUCAGGCUCUGCCUACUACCCACCAGUCUUCUGCCCCCAUCUCUAGCCUCCUUCCUGCCCUCUCUUGUGAGCCAAGCGUGCACAGGUAAGUGCCAGGGAACUUGAUGGCUUUUAAUCGGAAUGACUCUGCAUCCACAGC